rnacentral:rRNA from 1 species
GGACGGUAGCACAGAAGAGCUUGCUCUCGGGUGACGAGUGGCGGACGGGUGAGUAACGUCUGGGAAACUGCCUGAUGGAGGGGGAUAACUACUGGAAACGGUAGCUAAUACCGCAUAACGUCUUCGGACCAAAGUGGGGGACCUUCGGGCCUCACACCAUCGGAUGUGCCCAGAUGGGAUUAGCUAGUAGGUGGGGUAAUGGCUCACCUAGGCGACGAUCCCUAGCUGGUCUGAGAGGAUGACCAGCCACACUGGAACUGAGACACGGUCCAGACUCCUACGGGAGGCAGCAGUGGGGAAUAUUGCACAAUGGGCGCAAGCCUGAUGCAGCCAUGCCGCGUGUAUGAAGAAGGCCUUCGGGUUGUAAAGUACUUUCAGCGGGGAGGAAGGCAUUGAGGUUAAUAACCUUGUUGAUUGACGUUACCCGCAGAAGAAGCACCGGCUAACUCCGUGCCAGCAGCCGCGGUAAUACGGAGGGUGCAAGCGUUAAUCGGAAUUACUGGGCGUAAAGCGCACGCAGGCGGUCUGUUAAGUCAGAUGUGAAAUCCCCGGGCUUAACCUGGGAACUGCAUUUGAAACUGGCAGGCUUGAGUCUCGUAGAGGGGGGUAGAAUUCCAGGUGUAGCGGUGAAAUGCGUAGAGAUCUGGAGGAAUACCGGUGGCGAAGGCGGCCCCCUGGACGAAGACUGACGCU